CAUCAAGCCACUUUUCACCAACAGGCAAAUGAAGUUUUUGAACAAGAAGUGUUAAUUGUGUAUGAAAAGAUCUUAAAAGGGAAAGUACCCUUUGAAGGAAUUGAAUAGACAUGAAAUUACUAGAGAGAAAAACUCUUUCAAGAUCAUCAAUACCUCUUGUUAAAAAAGUGUAGAAACCAUUAACAGAGUUUGUAGAAGAAGG
rnacentral:misc_RNA from 1 species